rnacentral:rRNA from 1 species
AGUCAAGUAAUUAAGUGCAUGUGGUGGAUGCCUUGGCAGUCAGAGGCGAUGAAAGACGUGAUAGCCUGCGAAAAGCUCCGGGGAGGCGGCAAAUAUCCUUUGAUCCGGAGAUGUCUGAAUGGGGGAACCCACCUACUUUAAGGUAGGUAUUGCAACAUGAAUACAUAGUGUUGCAAGGCGAACGAGGGGAAGUGAAACAUCUCAGUACCCUUAGGAAAAGAAAUCAAUUGAGAUUCCCUCAGUAGCGGCGAGCGAACGGGGAUCAGCCCAUUAAGUUAUGUGUGUUUUAGUGGAACGCUCUGGGAAGUGCGAACGUAGAGGGUGAUAUUCCCGUACACGAAAGGGCACACAUAAUGAUGACGAGUAGGGCGAGGCACGUGAAACCUUGUCUGAAUAUGGGGGGACCAUCCUCCAAGGCUAAAUACUCCUGACUGACCGAUAGUGAACCAGUACCGUGAGGGAAAGGCGAAAAGAACCCCUGUGAGGGGAGUGAAAUAGAUCCUGAAACCGCAUGCAUACAAGCAGUGGGAGCACCUUCGUGGUGUGACUGCGUACCUUUUGUAUAAUGGGUCAGCGACUUAUAUUCAGUAGCGAGGUUAACCGUAUAGGGGAGCCGUAGAGAAAUCGAGUCUUAAUAGGGCGUUUAGUUGCUGGGUAUAGACCCGAAACCAGGCGAUCUAUCCAUGAGCAGGUUGAAGGUUGGGUAACACUAACUGGAGGACCGAACCCACUGUCGUUGAAAAGCCAGGGGAUGACUUGUGGAUAGGGGUGAAAGGCUAAUCAAGCCUGGUGAUAGCUGGUUCUCCCCGAAAGCUAUUUAGGUAGCGCCUCGGACGAAUACCAUAGGGGGUAGAGCACUGUUUCGGCUAGGGGGUCAUCCCGACUUACCAAACCGAUGCAAACUCCGAAUACCUAUGAGUACUAUCCGGGAGACAGACUGCGGGUGCUAACGUCCGUAGUCAAGAGGAAAACAAUCCAGACCGCCAGCUAAGGCCCCAAAAUCAUAGUUAAGUGGGAAACGAUGUGGGAAGGCAUAGACAGCUAGGAGGUUGGCUUAGAAGCAGCCACCCUUUAAAGAAAGCGUAAUAGCUCACUAGUCGAGUCGGCCUGCGCGGAAGAUGUAACGGGGCUAAAACUAUGUGCCGAAGCUGCGGAUGUAUACUUUGUAUACGUGGUAGGGGAGCGUUCUGUAAGCCGAUGAAGGUGUGUUGAGAAGCAUGCUGGAGGUAUCAGAAGUGCGAAUGCUGACGUGAGUAACGACAAAACGGGUGAAAAACCCGUUCGCCGAAAGACCAAGGGUUCCAGUCCAACGUUAAUCGGGGCUGGGUGAGUCGACCCCUAAGGCGAGGCCGAAAGGCGUAGUCGAUGGGAAAAUGGUUAAUAUUCCAUUACUUCUGUGUAAUGCGAUGAGAGGACGGAGAAGGCUAAAUCAGCCUGGCGUUGGUUGUCCAGGUGAAAGGAUGUAGGCAUGUAUCUUAGGCAAAUCCGGGGUACUCUAUGCUGAGAUCUGAUAGCAAGCUGUACUUGUACAGCGAAGUGGUUGAUGCCAUGCUUCCAGGAAAAGUCUCUAAGCUUCAGUUACACAGGAAUCGUACCCGAAACCGACACAGGUGGUCAGGUCGAGUAGACCAAGGCGCUUGAGAGAACUCUGCUGAAGGAACUAGGCAAAAUGGUACCGUAACUUCGGGAGAAGGUACGCUGUUGUUGGUGAUGGAACUCGCUUCCUGAGCUGACGACAGCCGCAGAAACCAGGCCGCUGCAACUGUUUAUUAAAAACAUAGCACUCUGCAAACACGAAAGUGGACGUAUAGGGUGUGAUGCCUGCCCGGUGCUGGAAGGUUAAUUGAUGGGGUUAGCGUAAGCGAAGCUCUUGAUCGAAGCCCCAGUAAACGGCGGCCGUAACUAUAACGGUCCUAAGGUAGCGAAAUUCCUUGUCGGGUAAGUUCCGACCUGCACGAAUGGCAUAAUGAUGGCGGCGCUGUCUCCAGCAGAGGCUCAGUGAAAUCGAAAUCGCUGUGAAGAUGCAGUGUACCCGCGGCUAGACGGAAAGACCCCGUGAACCUUUACUGCAGCUUGACACUGAACUUUGACCUUACUUGUGUAGGAUAGGUGGGAGGCUUUGAAGCUGGAACGCUAGUUCCAGUGGAGCCGUCCUUGAAAUACCACCCUGGUAAUGUUGAGGUUCUAACUCUGUCCCGUGAUCCGGGACGAGGACCGUGUCUGGUGGGUAGUUUGACUGGGGCGGUCUCCUCCUAAAGAGUAACGGAGGAGUACGAAGGUGCGCUCAGCGUGGUCGGAAAUCACGCGUAGAGUAUAAAGGCAAAAGCGCGCUUA